AAAAGUUUAGUUAAUACAAAUAACAUUAACUUGUCAAGUUAAAAUAACUAAUAUAUAGUAACUUUUA
rnacentral:tRNA from 1 species